CAAUAUCUAGCCUAGCAUAUUACAAUAGCUAAAAUGGGCAGAGAAAAUAUUAAGUUUCCUACCAAAACCCUCAGCAAUUUUCAAGUGGUCCACGAGGGAAUUUAUUUUCGGAAGUACUGAGAUAGAGGAGAGCAUUUGAUUUGAGCCAGCAAGUCUGUUUUUACAUGUAUCUGCUAAUAAAAAUACAUUGAGACUCCAUGAGAAUGCUUCUUGGAAACAGGUGCUGGUUUAAAAACAAAAUGUCUGUCUAAAUUAUCUAUCUCUUUCUCUGAUACUUAAGCUAUACACCUGUUAAAGGAAUCCAGUCCAAAGCUUAUUCCUCACAAGAAAACUGACCCAUGUGAAAGGGUUCUCCAAGGAAGGGAGGAGUGAAAGAAUAUUCGUCACAAAUGGGGUAACUGACAAAGAGGUAUUGCAAAACCAUACACAAAGCUGUUCAGCUUAGCAAAAAAGGCAGUUCAGACAACUCCGGUUUGCUUGUGGUUUUCGUUUGUGCCCAUACUGAUCUUCCUGGGUUUGAUGGAAGAUUCAUAGUUUUGUCAUCCAUUUAGCAUACUUAAACAUUCACCACAUUUAAAUCAAAUCCCAUAGAGUUAGCAUACUUAAUCAUUCACCACAUUUAAAUCAAAUCCCAUAGAUUUGUUUAAUCAAACAAAGUACACUUUAUUUACCCAAUUCUCUCUUGCGAAAAGACAAAAGCAGAAUUUGACGAGGAGCACAUGCAAUUCGCUUACUUAAAACAAUUAGCACUGCAAAUUUGUUUACACCAAAGAUUGAACAAAUUGCUCGAAACAAUGCGCACGCCGACUUUCUCAUUUACACUAAUGGGCUCGCAUUUGUAGCUCUGAAAGCAAAGUCUGAAGGAUUUCAUAACAUCUAUGUUGCACCACAGUUCAAGAAGGACACUGACAAACUGGAAUGUGUCCAGAGGAGGGCAACCAAAAUGGUCAAAGGCCUGGAAACGAUGCCUUAUGAGGAACGGCUAAGGGAGCUGGGCAUGUUUAGCCUGGAGAAGAGGAGGUUAAGGGGUGAUAUGAUAGCCAUGUUCAAAUAUAUAAAAGGAUGUCACAUAGAGGAGGGAGAUGUUGGUUUCUGCUUUCCUUCACUGUGCAGCAACUGCUGUCACGAGACAGGUGUUUACAUUCCACAGUCUGUACUGUUGGAGUUUCUCACGGGAAAGGGAAACUGGAUGUGACGUACACUGGUUUCCUGUUUUUCACUCUGUGAUUCUCUCCGAGCUGAGAGAGGAGAGAGGAUGCAUUUUUCUGCUCUUGCAGAGGCAAGAUGUCUUUCUGUAAUAUACCAGCUUUGAACUGUAAAUAAAGCAAUAUAGAGUAUGGAGCACAUUUUCCUCAUCCUUCCGCUGGGCACAACAGACUCUGCUUUAAAUCAACACGUGGUUAUGGGCUACAGAGGUCGAAUCGGAGUGCCGGCAAAGGAUCGGAAUGCAGAGGGACGGAUCGGAAAGGAAUCUGCUCUGCGCGUAGAAGUGAUUGAUGAGGUAUGUGCUACUGCUCCGGGCAGCCUGCCAGCUUCAAGUUAAUGGCUUUAUGGCUGGACUUUGAACUUUUCAAGCCGGUUUUGCGAAAUAGGCAAAAGGCUCCCAGGCACAAGUCACUAUGCUGGGGAAAUCGAAGUAACUUUUAAGUGUGCCUUUGUAAUGAGGCAGCUGCAGCAGUGACGCAGCAAGAAUUAAAGCAGCAUAUUUAUGACGCUGAAGGCUAAUGCCAGAGUCAUGAUGGCCCUUCAGGAUGCUUGUGGGAUUCCUAAGCUCAACAAGACAAAUUACAGCGACUGGGUUCAGUAUGCAGAGGCAAUUCUGCGGAAAGAGGGUUUGUUUGAUGUGAUUACAGGAACCCCCCCAGUUCCAGUUACAGAUGUAUGGGAAGCUAAGGAUUCCAAAGCAAGGGGAACUCUUACAUUGAUAGUAUCCCCAGAAGAGCUCUGUCUAUUGCGUGAUAAGACCUCAGCCAGAGAAAUUUGGGACGCUCUGAGAGAGGCUCACUUAAGGACAGAAGCUGGAUCCACUAUGUUUUAUUUUAACAAGCUGCAUAAUAUGGCUCUUGCUGAAGGUGGAGAUGUGCAUUUACAUCUAAUGGAGAUGCGAAAUCUGAGACAUGAGCUGCAACAGAGAGGACUCAACUUUCCAGAGGCUGUGUAUUCUUUCAUGAUACUACAAUCUUUGGGUUCAGGUUGGGAGUCUGUUGCAACCCAGAUUGCUGUGCAACCAACUGCUCAGCUGACAGUGGACUUUGUUACUGCCGUGAUUUUAAAUGAAGCAGAUCGCCGGGUGCUAGCUGCAUGGGCAAGGGGAGUCUUCACAGACGUCAUCCCAUAGUGCAGUGGAACCACCAGAUGGCGCCAAAGCUUUGCAGGCAGUGAAAUGCUACUCGUGUGGACGUCUAGGCCAUAUGAAGAGGGAAUGCAGACAUCCCAGGGCCAAGACAGAGCAGCGCAGCGAAAGCUCAUCGCGCGGAAAAGGCCGAGGCAAAGGCAAAGGUCCAGUGUCUAGGACAACGCAGCACAAGGCUAUGGUUUCACGCUUCACUCCAAAGGUUGCAGAGGUCCAGAAGACGUCUAGAUCUUUCUUCGUUGUUGAUUCAGCGGCCACCCACCACAUGUGCAACGAUAAGAAACUGUUUGUGUCUUUUACACCGCAGGAAGGUGCGAUUCACCAGGCAGAUGACCACACUAUUCCCAGUAAAGGCUACGGAACUGUUGUUCUUCACAGUUUGGACUUAUCGAUACAGAAUGUGCUUUACGUGCCAGACGCUAAACAUAAUCUGCUCAGCGUUGGACAGCUGAAUGAGCGGAACAUUGACGUUUCCUUCAAGAACAAGAAGUGCAUCAUCACAAAGAAAAAUGAUUAUGUAUUGCAUGCAGAAUAUGUUGAUCAUUUGUUUGUUUUGUAUUAUGAUGAUGUGGUGCAGGAUGACACUUGUUGCAUUGCAGGUUCUAACAAAAGUUUGCAUGCAGAACAUAUUCACGAUUUUCAUCGCAAAUUUGGUCAUUUGCAUUUUGAGGCAGUAUCUAAGAUGCCUGCCUUGGUUGAAGGUAUGACUAUUAAACCCUGCAGGUACCACAUGAAGUGCAAAGCAUGCGCAGCAAACAAGGUGAAAAUGGCUGCGAAAGGUAAGGUGUCUAGUAGGAAAGCUACAGAACCAUACCAGGUUGUUCAUGCUGAUUUGGUUGGUCCACUAACGCCCUCUUUGGGUGGAAAUAGAUACUUCAUGGUUCUCAUUGAUGCAUUUUCUAGAUAUAUUUUUGUGUACAAUCUCAAGCAGAAAUCGGAGGCUUUUCCUAGGUUCAAGGAAUUCUGUGCUUGGUUGGAAAAUGUGCAUGGUAAGAAGAUAAAGACUCUUUUCAGUGAUCGCGGGGGGGAAUUCACUUCUCAGCAGUUUGAAGCUUUUCUGACUGAGAAAGGAAUUCAACACGAUUUGUCUAGUCCUCGCUCGCCAUGGCAGAAUGGACUUGCGGAACGGGCAAAUCAAACAUUGCUUCAAGGCUUAAAAACCUUGCUGCAUGAUGCCAAUCUUCCAGAGAGUUAUUGGGCCGAAUCUCUCUCGUGUUUUGUUUACAGUUACAAUCGCAGGUUAUCUUCAGCGAUUGGUUGUACUUCUAUGAGAAGAUGUUUGGCAAGAAGCCAUACAUCAAACACAUGAAGAUUUUUGGUUCAGACAUGUGGGUUCGCUCACCACAAAACUCCAAGUUAGACAAGCGUGGAUUGCAUGGUAUCUUUCUAGGUUAUCAGAAAGGGUCUUACAGAAUAAUGAUGACUGACUCUAAGACAAUUAAGCUCACGAGAAGUGUUGAGUACAAUGCAAAGUGGGGGAGAAUGUGGGAAUUUUCCAAUGUUAUCCUGAUGACGAUGAUGAGACUGAGGAUAGUCAAAGCAACCACAACAACCCACACCCACUGAUGAAGGUUCUGAGUCUGAAUCUGAAACUGAAUCGGGUGAUUCAGAGGAUUUCAAGAGUGCGAAAGCCUCUAUGCGACCCUCUGAAAGCUCUGAUCAAGAAUUGGAGGAACCAUUGUUCACAAUAGGUCGUUUUUCUCCUAAGAAGGAAGAGGAGAGUGUUGAAGACUUAAGGCUAAUUCGUAGGUCACAGAGAGCCACAAAAGGCAAACCUCCAAAGAGAUUUGCUGAUGAGUUUGCUAAGAUAGCAGUAACAGCUGUUAAAAGCUCCAAGAAGGUAUUUGAACCUUCAAGUUUCCAAGAAAUCCAGGGUUUGGAUUCAAAGGAAGCUGAGCCAUGGUUAAAUGCCAUGAAGGCUGAGCUUGAUUCCUUAGAAAGGAACAAAACAUGGGAGCUAGUUCCAGUAGUUCCAGGAAUGAAACUGCUUGGAAGCAAAUGGGUCUUCAAAGCGAAGACAGAUCAAAAUGGCAAGAUAGUCAGACACAAAGCCAGAUUGGUAGCCAGAGGUUUUGCACAGGUACCAGGUGAAGACUAUCACGAGACCUAUUCACCCACAGUGAGAUAUGAAAGCAUUAGGCUUAUGCUCAAGCUAGCUGCAGAGGAAAAUCUACACAUUAGUCACCAUGAUAUUAAUACAGCUUUUCUGUACGGAUCUCUAGAUGAAUCACUUUAUAUGCUUCCACCUGAUGGCGUACAGGUUAAACAGGGAUUCGUUUGUGCUCUGAAGAAAUCCCUUUAUGGUCUCAAACAAAGUGCACGGUGUUGGCACACAAAACUCACUGAAGUAUUGUUUUCUCUAGGUUUUCAGCAAGGGAAAGCUGAUCCAUGUGUAUUUGUCAAAGAGGAGGGGCAAAAGAAACUGUACUGUUUGUUUUAUGUUGAUGAUUUAUUAUUCUUUUGGAAAGAUGUUGCAAUGUACAAUAGCGCCCUAGCUCAACUGAAAGAGCACUUUGACAUGAAAGAUCUUGGUGAGGUAAACAACUACCUAUCUCUGGAAAUAGAGAGAGAUCAAGAUGGUAACAUUCUAGUACACCAGUCACGGAAAAUUGCUGAUGUGUUAAGCAAACUAAAUCUGAUGGAUGCUAACCCUGUAGACACACCGAUAACAACAGGUUAUCAGGUAGAUGACACUGAAGAAGCAUUUUCUGACACUACACUGUACAGGAGUGUGCUAGGCAAGCUAAACUUCAUUGCCAGAUGUUCAAGACCAGACAUUGCUGUUAGCUGUAAUUUGCUAAGCAGACAAGUCAACAAUCCUAGUGUCAAGGAUUGGAAAGCUCUGAAACGCAUAGCGCGGUAUUUGAAAGGCACUAUGCAUUACAGACUGAGAUUUAACAAUCAGAAGUCUGGUGGUCUUGAGAUAUUUGCAGAUGCAAGUUUUGGAAGUGACGCUACAGACAGGAAAAGUACAUCUGGAGUUUGCUACAUAUACAAUCAGAGUCUGUUUGAUUGGUCAUGCAAAAAGCAAACAACAGUUAGCUUAAGUACUUGUGAAGCCGAACUGAAUGCACUGUCUUAUUCACUUAAGGAUUGUGAAUGGUUAGUACAAUUGUGCAAAGAUAUGAAAAUUCCUGUCAAAUGUCCAAUCCAGGUUUACCAGGACAACAAAGCAUGUUUGGCUUUGCUGAAGUCUGAAGGUUGUAAGCAAAGCACAAAGCACUUGCAAUUAAAGUUGCAGCAUGCUAGGGAAUGUAUUCAGAAGGGACUCGUAACGGUGUCCUAUAUGCCAGGUAAUGAAAUUCCUGCUGAUGUAUUGUCCAAGAUUGUAUCAAGGGAUCAACACUGUACCUAUGUGCAGAAGUUGGGUUUGUACUGAUAUUGUACGAACACGCUGCCCAGUGAUGUUCACAGAAAGGGGGGAGGAUGUUGGUUUCUGCUUUCCUUCACUGUGCAGCAACUGCUGUCACGAGACAGGUGUUUACAUUCCACAGUCUGUACUGUUGGAGUUUCUCACGGGAAAGGGAGACUGGAUGUGACGUACACUGGUUUCCUGUUUUUCACUCUGUGAUUCUCUCCGAGCUGAGAGAGGAGAGAGGAUGCAUUUUUCUGCUCUUGCAGAGGCAAGAUGUCUUUCUGUAAUAUACCAGCUUUGAACUGUAAAUAAAGCAAUAUAGAGUAUGGAGCACAUUUUCCUCAUCCUUCCGCUGGGCACAACAGACUCUGCUUUAAAUCAACAGGAGAAAGGUUGUUUUCUGCUGCUCCAGAGAAGCAGACACGGAGCAAUGGAUCCAAACUACAAGAAAGAAGAUUCCACCUAAACAUUAGGAAGAACUUCCUGACAGUAAGAGCUGUUUGACAGUGGAAUUUGCUGCCAAGGAGUGUGGUGGAGUCUCCUUCUUUGGAGGUCUUUAAGCAGAGGCUUGACAACCAUAUGUCAGGAGUGCUCUGAUGGUGUUUCCUGCUUGGCAGGGGGUUGGACUUGAUGGCCCUUGUGGUCUCUUCCAACUCUAUGAUUCUAUGAUUCUAUGGUGUGUAUCCCAUCGACUCUCCAAGGAACUUGUUUUAUUCUCACAUAUAGGUCUGAGAUAUGUCUGUUUUAUUCUCACAUUAGUCUGAGAUAUGUCUGUUGUCUUUGUCCAUGGAGUUUUCUUGGCAGGGAUACUGGAGUGGCUUGCCGGUUCCUCCGCGAGGUGGAUCAUGUUUGGUCAAAACUCUCCACUAUGACCUGUCCAUCUUGGGUGCCCUGCUCGGCAUAGUUCAUAGCAUCUCUGAGUUAUUCAAGCCCCUUCGCCACGGCAAGGCAGUGCCAACAAAG